AUUCCAUUGAAAAUAUUACGAAUAAAUGAAUCCUAAUUUCUUUCGUUUCAAUUGAACCUUCAACCGAGUUUGUUUACAAAUUUUGUCUUUUGCCUAUGUCUAAGUAGGGGGCAUUAUUGCAUAAAUUUGGUCUUGAAAUCUAAAGUUGUGGAGAGUAAAUUAGAAGAGUUGAUAAAAAAAACUUGAAAAAGUGGUGUUUUAGAAAAGGUGAAAGUGUGAAAAGAAACAAGAAAAAUAAGUCACCUUUGAAAUUAUGGAGCUAGUAAAAAGAAAAAAAAAAGAAAAAGAGAGCUCAUGGUUGUGUUGUUGUUGAAAAAUAAGAAAAGAAAAAAAAAUUGGGAUCAAAAAUAGAAUUUGGUGUUGAGUUGGAAUUUAUGGGAAUGCUCCCUUGGGAUAGG
rnacentral:lncRNA from 1 species